rfam:Daphnia pulex DAPPTscaffold_6_Cont405, whole genome shotgun sequence.
CAAACGGCCCUUUUCAGGGCCACCAAAUAUUCAAGAAAUGAAAACA